GAAAAGAGUUGGAUUGGAGAAUCUGUUGUUCCAGGAUGAAAGUCUGCAAGUAUCUACUGUCUGAGGACCAGUCCAGAUGAGUGAUGAAACUAAGUGAUCCCACACAUUCCCCCAUUUUUUUGUAACGCUGAGAAACUCCAUAAAUAUCAACUGAGCUGUCGUUGCAUCCAACAGCAAGGUAAGUUCCAUCUGGUGAAUAUUUUAACUCAUGAAUUGCCUCUUUCCUAUCUUUAAUAUGUACAACUUCCGUCAUAUCUCUGUAAAGAAAAAAAAAACAUUAAACCAUAUGAAAAAAGUCACUAUAGAAUUAGUUGUUUCCAAA